GGAAUUAAAUGAUAUACUCCUCCACAAUCCAUUGUAUAAAGAAGAAAUCAUAAGCAAAUUAGAAAAUAUUUCAAAAUGUAUGAAAUUGUAAAUAUAGUCUAAUAAAAUUCAUGAAUGCCACUAAAACGGUUUAUUGAGGGAAAUUUACAUUUUAAAUACUUUAAUUAGAAAAUAAUAAAUAAUAGCAUAAUAAUAAUAACAGUGAAGGUCUAAAAUUAGUGAUAUAAGUUCCACUUUGGAAAGUUAGAAAUAAAGGGCCAAACUCAACCCAAAAGAAGUAAGGAAAUGGAAGUAACCUAACUUUCCAUCAAUAGAUGAGUGGAUACAUAAACUAUGAUUGAUACAUAAAUGAGAUUUUACUCAGCCAUAAAAAAGAUGAGAUUGUGCCGUUUGAGACAACAUGGAUGGACCUAGUCGGUGUUAUGCUAGGUGAAAUAAAUCAGGCUGAGAAAGACAAACAUUAUAUGAUUUCACUCAUAAAUGGAAUCUUAAAAAAAAAGAAGAAGAAGAAACAAAAAGCAGAAUCAGAACUAUAAGUAUGGAGAUCAAAAUGAUGGUUGCCAGAGUGAAGAUGAGUAUGGGGGGAUGGGAAAAAUGAUCGAAGGGGAGAGGGACAUACAGGCCUCCAGUUACAGAAUAAAUCACAGGAAUAAAAAGUAGAGCAUAAUGAAUAUUGUCAAUGAUAUUGUAAUAGCGAUGUAAUGGGACAGAAGGUAAACCAUACUUGUGGUGAGCACAGCAUAACGUAUAAACUUGUCAGAUUACCAAGUUGUAUACCUGAAACGAAUGUAACAUUGUCUGUCAACUAUACUAAAAAAAAAAAUAAACAGAAGAAAGGAAUCAAUAAAGAUGAGAACAAAAAUUAACAGGAUAGUAAAUAUGCAACAAGAGAAAAUAAAACUAGUAAACACUUGGUUCUUGAAGUUAAGCAAAAUUUAUAGAUCCUUAGAUAGAUUAAGAAAAACGAAGGAGGGGCACCUGGGUGGCUCAGUCAGUUAAGCUUCCCACUUCAGCUCAGGUCAUGAUCUCACGGUUUGUGAAUUCAAGCCCUGUGUCAGACUCUGUGCUUACAGCUCAGAGCCUGGAGCCUGCUUCAGAUUCUCUGUCUCCCUCUCUCUCUCUUCCUCCCUGGCCCACACUCUGUUUCUCUCUCUCUCUGUCUCAAAAAUAAACAUUAAAUUUUUUUUAAAAAUGAAUGAAAUAUUUAUCAUCAAUAUCAAGGACGAGAGGGAUGUUAUUACCACAGAUCCUAAUGACAUUCAAAGGAUAGAAAGUGAUUUUUGUUGCUACACAUGUGACACUUAUAUGAAAUGGAUAAAUUUCUUAAAAGCUAUAAUUUAAAAAGUUUGGAUACAAAAUUUGAAUAGUUCUGUAUCUAUUAGAGAAAUGGGCUUAUCAUCCAAAUUCCCACCCAGGUAGCUCCAAUCCCACAUGCACAUGGCUUCCCUGGUGAAUUAUAUGAAAUAUUUUUUUACUGUAACCCUUAUCAACAAACUGGCAAACUCUAGAAGUAGGGAGUGCUUUAUUUAUAGUUAGUUUCAUGAAACCAGCAUAAACCCCAAACCAAAAUCUAACAGUCAUUAAUAAAUAUAAAAGUUAAUUAAUGUUGUAGGACACUGUGUGUCCUAUAAAAAUGUUAGCAACUUUCCUUUAAGACUGAGGAUAAAGCCAGGAUGCCUGUUCUCACAUUUUUAUUCAAUCUUAUACUGGUUGUCCUCGUCACUGUGAGAAGAAAGUAGAUUGCAUAGUUGUCUACAGAGAAAAUGCUAAGAAUUCUAUAAAACUUCUAUCACUGUUAAAUGAAUUAAAUAAACUUGUAGGAGCACAACCUUAAGACAUAACCAUCAAAUAUAUUUUAUGUGUUCAGUAAAUGAUGCCUACCAUGUUUUUUAUUCCUCUGUUCUAAACUGACCAGAUGAAAACAACAUCUUACAAGACUGGCUCAUGGUUUGUUGAAGGAAUGAAAUGUAGAGUAUUAUGUGUCAAUGAUAUUCAAAUAACAUUUAGUUACUAAUAUCGUAAUUUCAAAUACUCAAAAAUGACCAAAUUCUAUAAUAAUAUGAAAAAAAUCAUUUAUUGUUUCGGGUGCUGGAUAGAAAAAAUGUAUAAUAUGAAAAUUAAGAGAUGAUGGUGCUCAAAAAAAUAGAAUACUUAAAGAGAAGUUGGUUCCUUUGACGAGAAUGUCAAGCAUUGAUACACAUCUUCAAAAAGCUUCAAGGGAAAUGGGAAGAAAGGAAGUAGCAUAUUUAGUAUAAACAGCCCUUAGGAGGAAUACUCGUGAAGACGAAAAGAAGAGAAUAUUACAGGCAAGUGUAUGCUUCUUUUUUUGAUACAGAAACUCCUUUGUGCAUUAUUCAAUAUUGCUGGGGCUUCUGCAAAUAUGAACUCUGCCUACAUGUAUAGCUUAGAUUUCUUAAUUAUGGAGUCUCUAUGAUAAUCACCAUUGUUAACAUUCUGAGAGAUGGUGAGCAUUUUUGACACGUUUAAGAUGUGGAAGACCUUGGCAUUUGAUGAAAUAGAGUACUUGUCAAAAGCUGUUGCUGAAUUAAGGGGUUGGUUCUAUUGGCUAUUUUGAGUCAGGGAGGCUCUAUUGUAGUCCUAAUCCCCCCUUUUCCUAAAUUAUCCAAGAUUAUUGGUGUUUUUACCUUAGAGUCAAAACUUACCUCUUUCUUCCAAGCCAUACAUUCAGUCAAUCAAGAAAUCCUUGGUUCUGCUUCAACAUAAACCUAGCAUCUGACAAAUUUUCUUGCAUAAUCAUCUCCCACUUGGAUUUUUGGAACAGGUUCCAGAUUUAUAUCACUAAUUAUGUUCUUGCUGCCAUACAGUCUAUUCUUAACAUAGCAACAGGAGUGGGUUUUUUUUCUUUUAAUUAAGCCAGUGUCUAGCAAACAAAAGAUAAUUACAAGCAGCUCUUACUGGGAAAAACUCCUUGAGCCAAGAGCAACAGCAAGAGUGCGGGGUCCUUGCUGUCCAGUGCAUUAUAAAAAGUGCUUUGAAAUCUAAUGUAGAUGGGCAUAAGAUGUAGGAAGAGAGUUGUUGGCCCUGAGUCUUUUAAUGGAAGUGCUUCCAAUGGCUUGACCGGGGACUGAGAUCCAGUAGUUAGAUGCCAGGGAAAAUCCUUGGCUCUAGCCUUAUUCCUCCAGCUUACAGGUGCAGAAGCCCAACUUCCAGAAUGAUGAAAGACCAGUGAUGCAGGCUUAUAGCUGCAACUGUGUAAUGACAUGAUUUGCUACCUCAGCACUACUGGUUGGAGAGAAGAGGAGGGUGUUUUGAGUCAAGUCUUGCUGUUAAUUAUUUUAUUAUUAGUUUUAUUUUUAAUCACCAGGCUGUAGCUGGUCUCCAGGGAGUCCUCUAAGAAGUGGGCCCCUUUUCAGGGAGGCAAGCCUGCAGGAGAUCAUUCUUGGACAAAUUAACUCUUCCCUAUGCCAGAUAAGGUCACUCUCAUACUCAGUAAUUUCCAGUGGCUACUCACUUCACUUGGAUAAAAUUAAAAAUCAUUACCAUGGCUAGUGAGGCCCCACAUGAACCAGCUGACUUUUCAGACUCUCUGGUUCAAUUUUCUAUCAUUCUCUCCUUUAUCAUUGCCUUCUAUACACACUGGUCUUUCUUCUGUUUCUUGUACAUGGCUUUGGAUGGAUAUUUUUAGUGCCAUUGCAAUCUCUUGCCAUCAAAAUAUUGGGGAUUGGUGUCUACCAAAAUCUUGGCACAUUUUCAGCCAUUAUGCCUUCUAUGGGUCUAAAUGUGAUUUUUCUUUAGUUUGUUGAUAUAGUGGAUUGCAUUAAUUUAUUUUAGAUUGUUUAAAUCUUCAUUCUUUCAAAUUUUGCCAUUCUAGUGGACAUGUAGUGGUGUCUCAUUGUCAUUUUAAUUUAAAUUUCUCUGUAACUAAUCAUAAAGAUAUUUUCAUGUAUUUGCUACCAGUAUAUUUAAAAUUUCAAAGUGUCUUUCAAAUCUUUUAUCAAUUUAAAAAUCAGUUUGUUAUAUUAUUUUUAAAUAUACAUAUAUUUAAAGUUUAUUUUUGAGAGGGAGAGUGAGAGUGUGAGUGGGGGAGGGGCAAGGAGGGAGGGAGAGAGAGGAUCCCAAGCAGGCUCUGUGCUGUCAGUGCAGAUCCUGAUGUAGGACUCAAACCCACAAACCAUGAGAUCAUGACCUUAGCUGAAACCAAGAGGUGGAUGCUUAACUGACUGAGCCAUCCAGGCAUUCCUAAAAAUUGUUUUGUAAUAUUGGCUUGUUAUGUAAGAGGUUUUAAAUAUAUAUAUAUAUAUAUAUAUAUAUAUAUAUAUAUACACACACACAUAUAUAUAUACACACACACAUAUUCUGGAUACAAGUCCUUUGCCAGAUUACAGUUUUUAAAUGUUAUCUCCCUGGGGUGCCUGGGUGACUCAGUCAGUUAAGCAUCGACUCUUGAUUUUGGCUCAAGUCAUGAUAUCACAUUUGGUAUACUGAGCCCCCGUGUUGGGUUCUCUGUUGAUAGUGAAGCCUACUUGGGAGUCUCUCCUUCCCCAACUCCUUCUCUCACUCCCUCUCUCCCUCUGUCUCUCUUUCUCUCUCUCUCAGAAUAACUAAAUAGACAUUAUAUAAAUAAAUAGUUAUCUCCUUAUUUGUUGAUUGCUCUUUCUUAUGUGUAAUUAUGUUCUAAAGAUUAUUUGUUUUCAUUCUGAAGAAGUACAGUUUAUCAAUCAUUGUCUUUUACAAGGGGUAACUGUUGCAGCACCCUAUUUAAUAAAUGUUUAUGAAACCCCAGAGUCACUUGGAUUUUCUCCCAUAUUUUAUUUUCUUUAUUGUUUUAAGUUUAUUUAUUUAUUUUGAGAGAGAGAGAGAGAGAGAGAGAGAGAGAGAGAGAGCAUAGGGGAGGGGCAGAAAGACAGGGAGAGACAAAAUCCCAGGCAGGCUCUACUCCAUCAGUACCGAGGCUGAUGUGGCGCUUGAACUCCAAAACUGUGAGAUCAUGACCUGAGCUGAGAUCAAAAGUCAGACGCUUAACCAGCUGAGCCACCCAGGCUCUCCUCCAUAUUUUCAUUCAGAAGUUUUAUAGGUUCAACAACUACAUUUAGGUCUUUUGGCAAUAAUUUUUGUAUAUGAUUAAAAGUGAGAGCUAAGGGUUAUCAUUUUCUUUGUGGCGUAUGAAUAUCCAAUAACUACAGCACAGUUUAUCAAAAACUAUCCUUUCUCCAUUUAAUUCCUUGGGACCUCUGUCAAAACUCAGAUAAUUUGAAUGCAUCCAUUUCUGGACUCUGGUACCAUUUAUCUAUGUAUGCAUUUUUAUGCUAAUUCUAUACUUGCUGAUUAUAGUAACUUUAAAAUACUUCUUGAAGUAAGUAGUGAUGUGUUCUAAAUUUUAUUUUCUUAUUCCAAUUUGUUUUUGCUAUUUUAGGUCUUUUGAAUUUCCAUACUAAUUUUAAAAUCAGCUUAUUUAUUUCUACCAAAAGCAAUCUGGGAUUUUAACCAUCAUUGCAUUAAAUUUGUAGUUCAAUUUGUGUAAGAAUAGACAUCUUAACAAUAUUGAAUUUCUGGAUCCAUGAAGGGAUAGAUUUCUCUACUUAUUUUGUUCUUCUUUAAUCUCUUUUUGCAAUGCUUGUAGCUCUCAGUAUAGAGAUCUUGUUUACCUCCAGACAAAUAUAGCUGUAAUUAUUUUGUACUUUUUGAAGCUAUUUAAAUGGUAUGUUUUAAAUUUUAAUUUUUUAUUUCCUUUUCUAGUGCAUAGAAAACCAACUGGUUUUGUAUAUUGACCUUGUAUUCUGCAAACUUACAAAAGUUACUUACUAGUUUUAGUAGCCUUUUUAUAGGUUUCUUCAAAUUUUCUAUAGAUAGGCUCAUAUUAUCUGAGAAUAAAUAUAGUUUUAAUUUUUCCCCCCAUCUCUAUAGAUUCAUGACUAUUGUGAGCAGCACACCUGUAUCCAUCUGGCUAAAAUUAUUGGUGCACAAAUGGAUAUGUAUCUUUAAAUCAGGCAUUUCAUGUGUUUUACAAGAUUUUAUUAUUACACACAGAACAGGAAAAGAUCUCUUUCAGUUCUGGAGCAUGUAAAGAUAUAUAUAGCCACAUUUCUUGGUCGUAAGUCCAUGUGCAUGGGGAAAUUCAGAGAAUAGAAAUGAGAGUUGAAGAGAGAAUGUUCUGAGAGUAUGCAUGUGAGAUUCUGGAUGCAGCUAGAUCCACCCUUUGGCUACUCUUAUCAUUUUAGUACAGAAGACAAUAUAUUCCUCCUUCCUUUUAGUUUUUGUUCAACUUAGUUUAAUUUUGGUUUACAUCAUUUGCAAGUGAAAUGAUCUUGAAUAAUACAAUAAUGAUGAAUUGCAAGGAUUAUAGCACUUGUAGAUGUAAUAUGAAUGCCAAAUAUAACACAAAGGCUGGGACGGAGACAAUGGAAGUAUACUUACUGAUUGACAGCCCCAAAGGUGAAUGCAUAUUUAUACUUUGGCAACAGCCACCCAUUACAAAGGGGUUUUGUUCUGGGUGAAGCUAAAUAUAUAUACAUACAUUCCAUAUAAUUCUAGUCAUUAAGUAAUUGGAAAACAAAUAAAAAUGUAUAAAUCAAAACACCAUACUGUAGUUCCUAAAAAGAACAAUUAUAGUAGAAACUCUGUCAAGAUAUAGCAAAAAUAAAGACACAUGGACACUCAAAUACACACAAUGAAGAGUCAUAAUAAGAUACAUUUUGCUUAACAUGAUAAUUCUAUGAAUAAAACACCUUUUUUCUUGAGGAAGUAAUUAUUUUUCCUGGAAAAAGCAAUUUAAUAAGAA